rnacentral:rRNA from 1 species
UACAGAGACUGCAAGCGUUGUCCGGAUUUAUUGGGCGUAAAGAGCGUGUAGGCGGCCGUGUAGGUCCGUUGUGAAAACUCGAGGCUCAACCUCGAGACGUCGAUGGAAACCACACGGCUAGAGUCCGGAAGAGGAGAGUGGAAUUCCUGGUGUAGCGGUGAAAUGCGCAGAUAUCAGGAAGAACACCUAUGGCGAAGGCAGCUCUCUGGGACGGUACUGACGCUGAGACGCGAAAGCGUGGGGAGCGAACAGG